rnacentral:rRNA from 1 species
GCCCAAGAUUGAAAGCUGGCGUCUUCGGCGUCCGCAUUGUAAUCUCAAGAAGUGUUUUCCGCUUCGGACCAUGCCUAAGUCCCUUGGAAAAGGGCAUCAUAGAGGGUGAUAAUCCCGUACAUGGCAUGGAGCGCCCGAAGCUUUGUGAUACGCUUUCUAAGAGUCGAGUUGUUUGGGAAUGCAGCUCAAAAUGGGUGGUAAAUGCCAUCUAAGGCUAAAUAUUGGGGAGAGACCGAUAGCGAACAAGUACAGUGAUGGAAAGAUGAAAAGAACUUUGAAAAGAGAGUUAAACAGUACGUGAAAUUGCCAAAAGGGAAGGGUAGGAGGUCAGAGAUGCGGCCUGGGAUUCAGCCUUGCUUUUGCUUGGUGUUUUUCCCAGAUUGCAGGCCAACGUCGGUUUUGGGCACUGGAGAAGGGUAGGAGGAACGUGGCACCUCUCGGGGUGUGUUAUAGCCUCCUACUGGAUACAGCGACCGAGACCGAGGACAGCAGCGUACUCGCAAGAGCGGGCCUUCGGGCACCUUUACGCUUAGGGCGUUGGCAUAAUGGCCCUCUACCACCCGUCUUGAA